rnacentral:rRNA from 1 species
UACGAAGGGGGCUAGCGUUGCUCGGAAUGACUGGGCGUAAAGGGCGCGUAGGCGGAUGGUACAGUCAGAUGUGAAAUUCCCGGGCUCAACCUGGGGGCUGCAUUUGAUACGUAUGAUCUUGAGUGGGGAAGAGGGUCGUGGAAUUCCCAGUGUAGAGGUGAAAUUCGUAGAUAUUGGGAAGAACACCAGUGGCGAAGGCGGGACUCUGGGCCGAUACUGACGCUGAGGAGCGAAAGCGUGGGGAGCAAACAGG